GGAGGGUACAGCUCAGUGGUAGAGCCCAUGCUUAGAAUGCAAGAGGUCCUGGGUUCAAUUCCCAGUACCUCCA